CCUACGGGAGGCAGCAGUGAGGAAUAUUGGUCAAUGGUCGGGAGCCUGAACCAGCCAAGUCGCGUGAGGGAGGAAGGAUCAAUGGUUUGUAAACUUCUUUUGUCUGGGAAUAAAGUGCGGAACGUGUUCCUUUUUGUGUGUACCAUAUGAAUAAGCAUCGGCUAACUCCGUGCCAGCAGCCGCGGUAAUACGGAGGAUGCGAGCGUUAUCCGGAUUUAUUGGGUUUAAAGGGUGCGUAGGCGGUUAAUUAAGUCAGCGGUGAAAGGUGGUGGCUCAACCAUAACCUCGCCGUUGAAACUGGUUGUCUCGAGUUGAUUAGAGGUAGGCGGAAUGCGUGGUGUAGCGGUGAAAUGCAUAGAUAUCGCGCAGAACUCCGAUUGCGAAGGCAGCUUACUAAACUAAAACUGACACUGAAGCACGAAAGCGUGGGUAUCAAACAGGAUUAGAUACCCUAGUAGUC
rnacentral:rRNA from 1 species